rnacentral:rRNA from 1 species
UGGGGAAUUUUGGACAAUGGGGGAAACCCUGAUCCAGCCAUGCCGCGUGAGUGAAGAAGGCCUUCGGGUUGUAAAGCUCUUUCAGACGGAAAGAAACGGUUACGGCUAAUACCCGUGACUAAUGACGGUACCGUCAGAAGAAGCACCGGCUAACUACGUGCCAGCAGCCGCGGUAAUACGUAGGGUGCGAGCGUUAAUCGGAAUUACUGGGCGUAAAGCGUGCGCAGGCGGUUUUGUAAGACAGGCGUGAAAUCCCCGGGCUUAACCUGGGAACUGCGUUUGUGACUGCAAGACUAGAGUGCGGCAGAGGGGGGUAGAAUUCCACGUGUAGCAGUGAAAUGCGUAGAUAUGUGGAGGAAUACCGAUGGCGAAGGCAGCCCCCUGGGUCGACACUGACGCUCAUGCACGAAAGCGUGGGGAGCAAACAGGAUUAGAUACCCCUGUAGUCC